rnacentral:sRNA from 1 species
CCCUAGCCUUAAUGGGAGCAACAUCCUUUUGUGCAGGUCCAGAGGCUUCGGGAGGUGUAAAAGAUAUAGCAAACAGCUGAUUCCGA